UUUCCCUUCCGACAAUCCAAUUCCACUUCCCCCAUCCAUCUUUAUCCUGUGCACAGUUGGGGUUUGAUUCACAAUCUAAAAGAUACAAGGUUUUGAUGUCAGCCUGGAUUUUUUUUAAAGUC